GACGAACGCUGGCGGCGUGCUUAACACAUGCAAGUCGAGCGGUAAGGCCCUUUCGGGGGUACACGAGCGGCGAACGGGUGAGUAACACGUGGGUGACCUGCCCUCAGCUCUGGGAGUAAGCCUGGGAAACUGGGUCUAAUACCGGAUAUGACCCCACUGACGCAUGUCGUGGGGUGGAAAGCCUUGUGCGGCUGAGGAUGGGCCCGCGGCCUAUCAGCUUGUUGGUGGGGUGAUGGCCUACCAAGGCGACGACGGGUAGCCGGCCUGAGAGGGCGACCGGCCACACUGGGACUGAGACACGGCCCAGACUCCUACGGGAGGCAGCAGUGGGGAAUCUUGCGCAAUGGGCGAAAGCCUGACGCAGCGACGCCGCGUGA
rnacentral:rRNA from 1 species